AUAAAGGCUCUUUGAUAAAAGAGCCACAAAAUUUUCUAAAGAAAGUAACA
rfam:Monodelphis domestica chromosome 4, whole genome shotgun sequence.